UACGUAGGUGGCAAGCGUUGUCCGGAAUUAUUGGGCGUAAAGCGCGCGCAGGCGGUCUCUUAAGUCUGAUGUGAAAGCCCACGGCUCAACCGUGGAGGGUCAUUGGAAACUGGGAGACUUGAGUGCAGAAGAGGAGAGUGGAAUUCCACGUGUAGCGGUGAAAUGCGUAGAUAUGUGGAGGAACACCAGUGGCGAAGGCGACUCUCUGGUCUGUAACUGACGCUGAGGCGCGAAAGCGUGGGGAGCAAACAGG
rnacentral:rRNA from 1 species